rnacentral:lncRNA from 1 species
ACCGCCUUCUGCUUUCCUAGGAGAGUUUCUUGAAUCGCAUUUGAACGCUAUAUACACUUGUGCACAACAGAGUACCUUGAACAUAUUAGUAACCUCUUCCCAGGUGAUGCUGCUGCUCCGGGGACCACACUUUGAGAACCACCGAACCAGAGGAUUGCAAUUUUCUCACAUUUCAAGCUCAGCUGGCUCAGGAGAUUUCUGCUGGAAUAGUUCUACCCGGUGUAUAGCAGGACAGUGCUGGGACACUGACCACAGGACCUACCUCUCCGCCAGACAGAGAGCCCACAGCCCAGGCGCUGUCCUGCCUCUUCCCCACCAGGACUGCCUCCCCCUGCAGCUCCCGCCUCUCUCAUUCCCAACGCACUUUUCAGGCUGAGGCCUUUCUGAGGUGUGCCCAUCAAAGUCCAAGCAGAAAGGAGAUGCUCGCUUGUUGAGGAAAGCCACAGUAUUUGCCUCAACUAUGAUGUCCAACUGAUCCAUAGUGCAUGCUGUAGUCGCCACCAGAUUCUCCAGGACCCGGCACUCCUCCCCCAACUGCUGAGUGUUGGAGACUGACAGCUCACAGCCAAGUUCCCCGCAUGGCUUGCCCUCCACUGAGGAGAAUCGCCUUGUCCAAGAUCACACCCCUUCCCAAGGUGGCCUCCAUCCAGUGCCAGUCAAGUAGGAGGUCAAUUAGGACACCCAACCAACCACCUGGCCCAAUUUGGAUAACUCUGAAGGAU